UUUUGAUUUCUCUGUAGACUACAUCAAGUUCAUCACCCAAAGACUAAUUACCAUCCAUCACUAUACACAUGUGCCCAGUCACCUCUUUUGCUCCCCUUCCUUCCCCUUUCCCCUCUCGUAACCACCUGUCCAAUCUCUAUAUCAAUGUGUUUCUUUGUUGUUGUUGUUGUUAUGUUCCACUUAUGAGUGAAAUCAUCCUGUUAUUUGAUUUUCUCCAUCUGACUUAUUUUGCUUAGCAUAAUACUCUCAAGGUCCAUCUAUGUUGUCACAAAUGGCAAGAUUUCAUCUUUUUUAUGGCUGAAUAAUAUUCCAUUCUGUGUAUACACCACAUCUUCUUUAUCCCUUCAUCCAUUGAUGGGCACCUAGGUUGUUUCCAAGUCUUGGCUAUUGUGACCAAUGCUGUAAUGAACAUAGGGGUGCAAAUACCUCUACACAUUCCUGUUUUUGUGUUCUUUGGAUAAAUAACCCAGCAGUGGAAUAGCUGGAUCAUAUGGUAGUUCUAUUCUUAAUUUUUUGAGCAAUCUCCUUACUGUUUUCCAUAGUGGCUUCAUCAGUUUACAUUCCCACCAGCAGAGUAUGAGGGUUCACUUUUCUCUGCAUCCGCUCCAACACUUGUUAUUUCUUGUCUUGUUAAUUACAGCCAUUCUGACCAGUGUGAGGUGAUAUCUCAUUGUUGUUUUCAUUUUGAUUAACAUUUAAAUCCAUGGACUUUAAGUAAAGCAGAUUAGCCUCCUUAAUGUGGGUGUGCCUCAUCAAAUCAGUUGAAGGGUCUUAAGAGAAAGACAGAGGGCCCACAAGGAAGAGGGAAUUCUACCUCCAGACUGCCCUCGGACUCCAGCUGCAGCAUCACUUCGUCCCUAGGGCUCCAGCCUGCUGGCCUCCCCUGAAAACUUUGGGAUUUGGGGUUUGCCAGCUCCCACAAUCACGUGAGCCAAUUCCUUAAAAUAACUCUCUCUCUCUCUCCACCCACACAUACACACACAUGCUAUUGGUUCUGUUUCUCUGGAGAAACCUAACUAGUAGAAGUGGAAUUUACUGAACACACCUCAGCAGCCACAGAUUUUCAAUAUAUCUCCUAAGGGGCAACUAAUUUUGCCUGUUGCCAAGUCCUGUAGGAUUUGCCAAGAUGAGUUUGCUGCAAUGGGAGGAGGCAAACUGCAGUCAGACUGCCUGGUUUCAGUCCCCAGCUCCACCACUUACUUGCUGUAUGACUUGGGCAAUUUUCAUACUCUCCGUGUGCCUCAAUUUUCUCAUUUGUAAAAUGAGAUAGAAGUUCAGGGGUACCUUAUAAGGUUGUGUAGGAUUAAAUGAGAUAAUAGAUGCAAAGUCUUUAGAAUAGUUUCUGAGACAUAGCAACACCUUAAUAAGUUUUGGAGAUGAUUACAGGUCCCCUGGAGUGCCAUAUCUGAAGCCUACAGAGCAUAUACUGUAUGUUCAGCUAGCAGAGUCUAGGGAGCACCCAAUAGUCAAGUGCUGUCAUAUUUUGCAGUGAGAUGCACUAAGAGGAGCAAAUAAAGAUCAUAAACAACCUCAUAUUGAUUCAGGUCAAGUUUUGUCCCCAAAUGGGUUAGGGAGAAAACUUGGUUUUCAGAGAUUUUUGGAUUUUGGAACUGUGGAUAAGGGAUUGCAGACCUGCCUCAUAUGAUAAUGUUUUCAAGAUACCUGAAAACAAGUUGGCUUGCUGGGUGAGCUUGUUUAAUAUUUCCCACUUGAACAAUGCAGCAUGUCUAUCAUAAAAAUAAUUUUUGUUUAGGCAUAAUUGAUAAAGAACUAUGUUUUAGACUCAACUGGGAAAUUAUAUCAGUUGCUUCUGGAGACUUCUGGUUUGGAAGACUAAAGCUAUGGCCUCAGGAUAGAGACAAUUCUUGUCUUCUUGCUGUGCUGUUUGUCACAGCAGAGCGUAUGCCUCCACUUCCCACUAAAUUCUACCUGUUCCUUGCACAAGCUGCUAGGCUGACAGACCCAGGCUGGCAAUGUGCUGGAAGGAAGCCGGGGGCGACAGGCUCUUGGUAGGAUGUGGAGGAAUUAGAAUCAUAUUCCUUUAUCCUUUCAACAUAUAUUUUUGAGCACUUACUCUGUGUCAAAUGUUGUCAGCUCUAUCUUUGUAGCAUUUUAUUGUUCAUCAUGUGCUUUCACAUUUAUUGCCUCUUUUAGUAACCCUAUGAAGAAGAUGUAGUAAAUAUUGUCAUCCUUGUUUCACUGGUUAAGAAAGUUUGUGUCACUUUAAGGCACAGAUGUAGCUGAUCUGAAGCAUAAGCCCAGUUCUUCACUUUUUUCUACUCCACGAGUAAUAGAGGUUUGCACUUUAUGAAAAUAGGGAUGAAUAUAUGUUUGGAACCCAUAAAUAGUGAACUAUUGGCAAUGGUGGGUGCCAACCAUCAAAAUAGGAUUUAAGUAGCUAAACAUCUUCUCAUGGAACCUGUUUCAGCUUAAGGUGGUUAAUCAGAUAUUUCAUGUUAUAAGGGUUACCUUGUGCUUUGGAUGCUGUGCGGCAUUGCCCACAUUCCCUCUUCAGGACUAAAGGGCUUAGUCCCUUAGCUACCGGGAAGGUUGUUGGCUAAUGUCUCUCUCUGGGAAUUGCCAUCAGGUGGAGAGAGAGCCCCACCCUCUUUGAGGUUCACCUGCAUCCCAUGAUGCUGAGAUAUAAAAGUUCCACCCCCUUCUCCUGACUGGGGACAACUCUGAACGGCCAUUCCUGCUCUAGACUUCCCUGUGGGGUUAGCUGAGACCUUGCUGCACCUCCACCAUGGCCCAGUUUCCAGUCUGACUCCUCCCGCGUUUGUUCCACAGCUGUUGAACCAAGGGCACUCCCAAAUACACCUCUGCACUUAAAUCAUCAUCUCAGAGUCUGCGUCCAGGGGACCACAACCUGCGAAACCAGGUCUCAGUGGGUGAAGGAAAAAAGUAGUUCUCAGGUGUUUAGUAUGUGAGAAAAUACUCACUUUUGAGAUUUUCUGUCUUUGAUAGUUAAAAAGGUGGGAAAAAAGUGACCCCUUUUGAAAUUCGUUUGGUCUUUUUGUUAGACACUCUGCCAUUUGUUGUUUCCCUUUAUUUACUAACUUUCACCCUAGUUUAAUUUACCUCGAAAUAUGAAUAACCAAGCCUACUUGAACCCAUUUUUCAAUUGAAAUUUGUUGCAGAACAGAAAAUUACAUGAGGAACUUGAAGGACAAGGCGUUUGUUGGAAUGGGAGACGCAGAACAUUAGAGCAGACUGGAAUACUUUUGGAGGACUCCACCCCAGCUGACGUUGGAAUGUUUUCUCACCGGGGCUUGAACUGCCCCCUUCCUCAUGUAUCAGUGGCUCUUAACUGGUACUAAACAGACAAAAAGAAGGAGGUGGAGGGGGAAGAAGAAGGAGAAACUCUGAUAAAAGGCCUGAAGAUACACAAUUUGGAAGUAGGAAAUGAAGGAAAGAAACU
ensembl:lncRNA